rnacentral:rRNA from 1 species
GACGAACGCUGGCGGCGUGCUUAACACAUGCAAGUCGAACGGUGAAGCGCCUUCCUUUUUGGUGGGUGUGGAUGAGUGGCGAACGGGUGAGUAACACGUGAGUAACCUGCCCCCUUCUUCUGGAUAACCGCAUGAAAGUGUGGCUAAUACGGGAUAUUCUGGGUCUGUCGCAUGAUGGGUCUGGGAAAGAUAUUGUUUCGGUGGGGGAUGGGCUCGCGGCCUAUCAGCUUGUUGGUGUGGUGAUUGACUACCAAGGCGGUGACGGGUAGCCGGCCGGAGAGGUGGGCCGGACACACUGGGACUGCGACACGGACAGGCCUCCUACGGGAGGCAGCAGGGGGGAAUAUGGCACAAUGGGCGCAAGCCUGAUGCAGCGACGCCGCGUGAGGGAUGGAGGCCUUCGGGUUGUGAACCUCUUUCGCCAGUGAAGCAGGCCUGCCUCGUUUGUGGGUGGGUUGACGGUAGCUGGAUAAGAAGCGCCGGCUAACUACGUG